rnacentral:rRNA from 1 species
GUGAGGAAUAUUGGGCAAUGGGCGAAAGCCUGACCCAGCCAUGCCGCGUGCAGGAAGACGGCCCUAUGGGUUGUAAACUGCUUUUACUCGGGAAGAAUAAGGGUUACGUGUAGCCCGAUGACGGUACCGAAAGAAUAAGCAUCGGCUAACUCCGUGCCAGCAGCCGCGGUAAUACGGAGGAUGCGAGCGUUAUCCGGAAUUAUUGGGUUUAAAGGGUCCGCAGGCGGACAGGUAAGUCAGUAGUGAAAAACCGGGGCUUAACCCCGGUCGUGCUACAGAAACUGCCUGACUAGAGAAAGUUUGGCGUUGGCGGAAUGUGACAAGUAGCGGUGAAAUGCAUAGAUAUGUCACAGAACACCGAUAGCGAAAGCAGCUGACGAAGACUAUUCUGACGCUCAGGGACGAAAGCGUGGGGAGCAAACAGGAUUAGAAACCCUAGUAGUCC